rnacentral:lncRNA from 1 species
AACAAACCUUGAUCCAGUUUAAGUGCGGUUAACCCAAAACGAGCCAGUGCACCAUGACUGGUACAUCAUAUACCGUGGUAUGUGCUAUCCUGUCAGUGGGAUAAAGAGAGCACCUGACAGCGAUUCAUUUUUGCUGCAUACACUCGUAACCGAAGAAAUCACAGUUUUUGGUUGGAUUGAACGACAACAAAAUAGCUGUGCCUAGUGUCGACCAACCUGCAACGGGAACAAGACUAGUUCACAAAUUCCACCAUAUGAAUAGCUCCAAGAUCCUGGCCCAUAUUCAGAUGGGAUUAUCAGACAUAUAAAUUGAAUGCACUUCUGAAUUUUAGAAAUGACAAAACUAUAUUCAUUGUUUAUUAACUAUGUUUUAUCAAAACAAAAACAUUUUAAAAUGGUCAAAUGAUCAUGUACAUUUUCAAUUAUUACUAUCCGAGGAAGAACAGCCAAUGCAGUAUCAUAAUAACAAAGCGUCAAAUGAACAGUUCAAUCAACAAUUCAACUAAAUUGAAAACAAAAUCGUCAUACUAAAUAUUCCAUAUUUCUGAACGUAAUGUGUAAGAUUGCUUGUGAUGAUGAUAUUGACUGGUUUGGUGUAACAAAAAUCACAAUAAGCUAUUUGAGUAUUGUAAUAUUCUGUACAGUACACAACAAAAGAACACUCACUAUUAAACUUAAAUUCAUCUUUGCAUGUUUUACCACAUCCACACAUUUUGUUCAUGUCACCAUACUUACUAACCAUGUGAUCUUGCAGGGACGGUGAUGUUUUGAGUUUUGAUCCCCAUUCUUUGCAUGCAUAUUUUUCAGGUUAUCACCGAUACAUGGUCCUUUGUGGUUUCGCAUACUUGAAACAUGCAAAAUAUUUUGAGCAUAUUGGGCAGUUGUAAGGCUUGUUUCCGAUAUAGUUAUUCAAAUGGCCGAAAUAAAGUGACUUAUCACAGUAUGUCUUAUCACAAUACGUACACGAAUACUUGUAUGUCUUAGGAUGGUGACGCUUUUUGUGUACAGAAAGUCCCUGUCGAGUUUUAUAGACCUUGGAACACACCUCACAUAGCAGCUUGGCAUCACCGUGCGAGAAAGUAGCAUGCUGCUUUAAAUCAAAUUGACUGAAAUAUCUUCUCGAGCAUUUGUAACAGCUGAUAUUUUUCUUGUCAUGCUCAACCUUGACAUGUCGUUUUAAAUUACUGUCAACUGGACUUUCGUCAGAACAAAGAUCUUCUUUUUUUUUUCUUUAAUACUCCACUAACCUUUGAUUUUGGGGUUGAUGUUAUAACAGGUUUACAGUUGUUAGUGUCAACAUUAAUAUCAGUACAGUUGUCAGAAUUAGUGAUAUUGUUUUAUUUCACAUCUGGCAAAGAAAUGUUCAUUGAUAUAUCAGUUUCAUUAAUGAUAACAGGUCAUUCAUCAAUGAAUGACAAUUCCAUAAUGAAACGAACUUGGUAUACACGCCGUAACCUAUAAAUAGAAAUCGUCAACACGUCGUGUCAUUUCUGUUUUGAGGUAGAAAAGAUAAACUUGCAUUUUUUGAUAUUUUAAAGCAAUGUUUUGACA